rnacentral:rRNA from 1 species
CCUGGUUGAUCCUGCCAGUAAUCAUAUGCUUGUCUCAAAGAUUAAGCCAUGCAUGUCUAAGUACAUGCCGAAAUAAGGCGAAACCGCGAAUGGCUCAUUAAAUCAGUUAUGGUUCCUCUUAGAUGUCCUUCCUAUCUUGGAUAACUGUGCAUUCUAUCGAGCUAAUACAUGCAGUGAGCCUGGAGCCCUUUGGGUAACGGGUGCUUUUAUUAGACCAAGAUCGAUCGGGUUUCGGCCCGUAUUGUGUGGUGACUCUGGAUAACUUUGUGCUGAUCGCAUGGCCACGAGCCGGCGACGUUUCUUUCAAGUGUCUGCCUUAUCAACUUUCGAUGGUAGGUUACUUGCUUACCAUGGUUGUUACGGGUAACGGAGAAUCAGGGUUCGAUUCCGGAGAGGGAGCCUGAGAAACGGCUACCACAUCCAAGGAAGGCAGCAGGCGCGCAAAUUACCCACUCCCGGCACGGGGAGGUAGUGACGAAAAAUAACAAUACGGGACUCUUUUGAGGCCCCGUAAUUGAAAUGAGUACACUCUAAAUCCUUUAACGAGGAUCAAUUGGAGGGCAAGUCUGGUGCCAGCAGCCGCGGUAAUUCCAGCUCCAAUAGCGUAUACUAAAGCUGCUGCGGUUAAAAAGCUCGUAGUUGGAUCUCAGUUCCAGACGAGUAGUGCAUCUACCCGAUGCGACGGCUCGGACUGAACAUCAUGCCGGUUCUUUCUUGGUGGUGCGACUUCAUUGUGGUGGCUCAGAUGGGCCGGUGCUUUUAGCUUUGAAAAAUUAGGUGGCUCAACGCAGGCGAGUCGCCUGAAUAUAUAAACUUGCAUGGAAUAAUAGAACAAGACCUCGUUUCUGUUCUGUUGGUUUUUGGAAUACGAGGUAAUGAUUAAGAGGGACGGACGGGGGCAUUCGUAUUGCGGCGCUAGAGGUGAAAUUCUUGGACCGUCGCAAGACGAACUACUGCGAAAGCAUUUGCCAAGAAUGUUUUCAUUGAUCAACAACGAAAGUCAGAGGUUCGAAGGCGAUCAGAUACCGCCCUAGUUCUGACCAUAAACGAUGCCAACCAGCGAUCCGCCUGAGUUACUCAAAUGACUCGGCGGGCAGCUUCCGGGAAACCAAAGUAUUUGGGUUCCGGGGGAAGUAUGGUUGCAAAGCUGAAACUUAAAGGAAUUGACGGAAGGGCACCACCAGGAGUGGAGCCUGCGGCUUAAUUUGACUCAACACGGGAAAACUUACCCGGCCCGGACACUGGGAGGAUUGACAGAUUGAGAGCUCUUUCUUGAUUCGGUGGAUGGUGGUGCAUGGCCGUUCUUAGUUGGUGGAGCGAUUUGUCUGGUUAAUUCCGAUAACGAACGAGACUCUAGCCUAUUAAAUAUGUGCGUGCUUCCCAGCACCUUACAACCUUCUUAGAGGGACAAGCGGCUCCUAGCCGCACGAAACAGAGCAAUAACAGGUCUGUGAUGCCCUUAGAUGUCCGGGGCCGCACGCGCGCUACACUGAAGGAAGCAGCGUGUCUUUAUCCCUGUCUGAAAAGACUGGGUAACCCGCUGCGUGGAACUUCUUUCGUGAUUGGGAUAGGGGCUUGCAAUUGUUCCCCUUGAACGAGGAAUUCCCAGUAAGCGAGAGUCAUAAGCUCGCGUUGAUUACGUCCCUGCCCUUUGUACACUCCGCCCGUCGCUACUACCGAUUGAAUAUUUAGCUGGGUCUUCGGAGCGCGAGUCCGCGGAGCGGCCUUUCGGUUGCGCCGGUCUGUUGGAAAGAUGACCAAACUUGAUCAUUUAGAGGAAGUAAAAGUCGUAACAAGGUUUCCGUAGGUGAACCUGCGGAAG